UCAGGAUGAACGCUAGCUACAGGCUUAACACAUGCAAGUCGAGGGGAAACGAUAUUGGAAGCUUGCUUCUGAUAGGCGUCGACCGGCGCACGGGUGAGUAACGCGUAUCCAACCUGCCCAUCACUUGGGGAUAACCUUGCGAAAGUAAGACUAAUACCCAAUGACGUCUCUAGAAGACAUCUGAAAGAGAUUAAAGAUUUAUCGGUGAUGGAUGGGGAUGCGUCUGAUUAGCUUGUUGGCGGGGUAACGGCCCACCAAGGCGACGAUCAGUAGGGGUUCUGAGAGGAAGGUCCCCCACAUUGGAACUGAGACACGGUCCAAACUCCUACGGGAGGCAGCAGUGAGGAAUAUUGGUCAAUGGACGAGAGUCUGAACCAGCCAAGUAGCGUGAAGGAUGAAGGUCCUACGGAUUGUAAACUUCUUUUAUAAGGGAAUAAAACCUCCCACGUGUGGGAGCUUGUAUGUACCUUAUGAAUAAGCAUCGGCUAACUCCGUG
rnacentral:rRNA from 1 species